CGGGUCGGAGGGGAGGCGGGCAGAAUUGAUGAUUGGCCAAUGGGACUCAGGUUGGAGCGGAGGAGACUGUAUCGGGCAAUGAAAUCACUUGAUGUUUUUGUGUAUGCAAAUAUCUUCCCUACCGUUUGCGUCCCCUCAUCUGCACUUUGGUGGGGUGGGCCGGAAGUCCGGCUAUAAUUUCCUAGAAGGCGCCAUUUUGUGGUGGAGAUGACCUUUGACCCCUCGCCUUGUCGCAGAGACCCAAAGACCUGGCUGACUAACCUUGAAGUCUUGGCUUUCAGACCUCGGGUAGAUGGAUCUGGGACUCCUUGGGAGGCCAGAGAAAAAUGUUGGAGGGUCCCAAGGCUUCAUUGCUCCUGGCCAGCACCCCUUCCCUACGUCGCCACAAACACAGGAUUGGACCCAGGGCUACAUUGCAGCCUUUUAAAAAUUAUUUUUCCUGUCCGGACAGGGUCUUGCUAAAAAUGGCCCACGCUCCUGUAAUCCUCCUGCCUCAGCCUUUUAUGGCACUGCUGGAAUUACGAUGUGAGCCAGUGAUGCAGGAGAAAUAGCGCUGGGUGUCAAAUGUGGUGCCUUUCUGGCCCAAGUUGAGGAGUGAAGUUGUGAACCUAAGGGAGGCAGCAGGGAGAGAUUUAUUGGAAAUGAGUGAAGAACAGCUUUGGGGUUUCCUGCAUGGUCCUGAAAAGGGGCCCACCGAGGACCUUCGUCGAGGGUCCGAGGAGAUAUGCAAGAUGAAGUCUGGAAGGUCCUGGUGCAGCGUGACCGGUGACUCAGAAAAGGCCAUGGCAGGGGACAUCCAGAAUUGCCACAGCCACCAGGAGCUGCCAGAAAGGCCAGGGACCAACUCCUCUUCCCAGGCAGCAACCAAUUCCCAACACCUUGGGUUUGAGGCCAAGGAGACAGCGUCUGGGGUGUAGCUCUGGGACACCUGUGCCCCUGUCACGAGGUCUGGGCCGGGAAAUCACAAGGAGCGGACCGCCAGGCCACGGACACAGGCUUAUGAGCUGUGGGUGCAGGGCGCAGGGAGAAGAUCCCAAGGUCAAGCCCAGCCUGGGCAACUGAGCAAGACCCUGCCACAAAAUAAAAAAUAAAACAAGGGCUGCGGAUGGAGCCAGUGCAAAGGCCCUGGUCUCAAUCUCCAUCGCUCAGCUUGGUGGUCAGCAAUGCUGGAGGGGGUCCCAGAGCCCCAGGAACCUGGCCCUGGAGACGGCUUCCCCAUAGCACUGACCUGCAGCCAAUGUGGGGGCCUGUAGGGGGCCCACCUACAGGCAGGGGGCUAUUCUUUCCUGGUAGCAACUCUGGAGACCACGGAUCAGGAAAACAUCUGUUUAUUCCAAAAAUACCAUGUUGCAGCUCCGCUGGGGCCUGAGCAGGGCCAGUGCUGAGGGUGGCUGGAUGCUGGGGAAAGGAAGGGCAGCGUGGGUGUCUUCUGGCCCAGCGCUGCUCCUGUUCUCUCUACCACGGCCCCCUAGGUGCCCAGCAGGGUGGUGCACAUACCACUCUGCACAGUCUUGGGUCUCUGUGUACAGUUUGCAAGGGAGUGUGGAAGGACAGGGAGGCUGAAGGUGACCAGUUCCCGCUCAGGCCUGCCAGCACUCUUAGGCCUUUCUCCUCUGUGGCCUCUUUGAGAUGAGAGUGUGGGGCCCCAUCAGGCCACCUGUGCCAAAUAAGAGCAAAAGGUGGGGGCUGGGCCCCCAGAGUCCAGGCAGGAGUGGGCAGGUGGAGGGGGUGUGCACCUGAACCCCACAUCUGGGAAAGCUGCAGAAAGCUGAGUCUUGUGGGGUGGCAAGUGGGGCAGGGACUGUCUGGCUUCUCUCCGGGUGCACCCCAGUCUGCCUGAGCACA